AUGGAGAAACUCCUGGAAGUGUCUUUGCUGAUACUAUGGCUUCAACUGCCCACGGUGAACAGCCAGCAGGAACAGCAUCAUCAGGUCCUGAGCAUCCAGGAGGGUGAAAAUGCCACCAUGAACUGCAGUUAUAAAACUUCGAUAAGCAACUUACAGUGGUAUAGACAAGACUCGGGUCAAGGCUUUGUCCAGCUGAUUUUAAUACGUUCAAAUGAAAGAGAGAAACACAGCGGAAGGCUACGGUUCACCCUAGACAACUCCAUCAAAAGCAGUUCUUUGUCCAUCAUUGCUUCCCAGACUGCAGACUCUGCUACUUACAUCUGUGCCACAGGACACAAUGGAGGCUAUAAUGCGGUCUUCAAAAUUGGGACAGGAACAAGACUAUUUGUUAAAGCAAAUAUCACAGACCCUGACCCCGCGGUGUACCAACUGAGAAGCCCUAAAUCCAGUAAGAUCUCUGUCUGCCUGUUCACCGAUUUUGAUUCUGAAACCAAUGAGCAGCAAGCCCCAGAGUCCACGAUGACCAGGCUAAACAGUACCGUGCUGGACAUGUGGUCGAUGAAUUCCAAGAGCAAUGGCGCCCUGGCCUGGAGCACCAGCACUGAUUUUAAAUGCAAUGAGACCUUCGACGAGAAAUUCUACUCCAGCUCAGACUUUUCCUGUGAUGCCACUUUGAUAGAGAAAAGCUUUGAAACAGAUAUGAACCUAAACUUCCAAAACCUGCUCAUGAUCGGGCUGCGUGUCGUCCUCCUGAAAGUGGCUGGGUUUAACCUGUUCAUGACGCUGCGGCUGUGGUCGCGCUGAGGUCACCAAGAACAUGAGAGCACCUGACGCUCCCUCGCUCCUGGCUCCCCACCGUACCUCUUGCCCCUCUUCAAGCAGAGAGGCAGACUGUCUGCUCCCCUGAACAGAUAAGAAGCUCCCUCUGCCUCUCUGGCCCCACUGGCAAUGGCCACCAGCUGCAUCCCACCAGAUACUCACCAUCAAGGUGCUGAAGAGCUGCCAAACCCUGCCUCUGCCCCCUCGGUUCCCUCACUGCUGCUUGUCACCACUUGACGCUCACAGCAAAGUCAGGGGGCAGCAGCGGAGAGACUCCCUGUCCCUCCCGAGACUGCCUCUUACAUCCCCUGUCCCCUAUCCUCUGGGAGAGGAACCCCCAGUAGGUCCUCCUGGGCUCUAGCUCCCAGAGAAGGUUGUGAGGAGUCCAUUUUUUUAAAUAAUGUUCAUAAAUAUGUGUACCCUUUACCCCAAGAUGUGGGGGAAAUUAUUACGGAGACCCUGCUAUGCUGUGUAUCUGAGCCGCGUUGUAUAUCCUGCUACCCAUGACUUCAUUAAAGGCAAUUUGGAAGAGC